UUCAUGGUAGCUGAGUGGGUAAAGCGCCUGUUGCUAUUUACUUUAUACAGAAAAUCGAUGGUUGAAUUCCAUUCUGGAGCAAAUUAGAAA